UACGGAGGGUGCAAACGUUGCUCGGAAUUAUUGGGCGUAAAGCGCACGUAGGCGGCCAAUUAAGUCGGGUGUGAAAGCCCAGGGCUCAACCCUGGAAGUGCACUCGAAACUGAUUGGCUUGAAUAUGGAAGAGGGUUGCGGAAUUCCCGGUGUAGAGGUGAAAUUCGUAGAUAUCGGGAGGAACACCAGUGGCGAAGGCGGCAACCUGGGCCAAUAUUGACGCUGAGGUGCGAAAGCGUGGGGAGCAAAC
rnacentral:rRNA from 1 species